rnacentral:tRNA from 1 species
GCCGAGGUAGCUCAGUUGGUAGAGCAUCGCCCUGAAGAGGCGGGGGUCACCAGUUCGAACCUGGUCCUCGGCA